GAUGAACGCUGACAGAAUGCUUAACACAUGCAAGUCAACUUGAACUUCGGUUUGGGUGGCGGACGGGUGAGUAACGCGUAAAGAACUUGCCUCACAGAUAGGGACAACAUUUGGAAACGAAUGCUAAUACCUGAUAUUAUGAUUAUAUGGCAUCGUAUAAUUAUGAAAGCUAUAUGCGCUGUGAGAGAGCUUUGCGUCCCAUUAGCUAGUUGGAGAGGUAACGGCUCACCAAGGCGAUGAUGGGUAGCCGGCCUGAGAGGGUGAUCGGCCACAAGGGGACUGAGAAAAGGCCCUUACUCCUACGGGAGGCAGCAGUGGGGAAUAUUGGACAAUGGACCAAGAGUCUGAUCCAGCAAUUCUGUGUGCACGAUGAAGUUUUUCGGAAUGUAAAGUGCUUUCAGUUGGGAAGAAAAAAAUGACGGUACCAACAGAAGAAGUGACGGCUAAAUACGUGCCAGCCGCCGCGGUAAAAC
rnacentral:rRNA from 1 species